rnacentral:rRNA from 1 species
UACGGGGGGAGCAAGCGUUGUUCGGAUUUACUGGGCGUAAAGGGCGCGUAGGCGGUCAGCACAAGUCAGUUGUGAAAUCUCCGGGCUUAACUCGGAAAGGUCAACUGAUACUGUGCGACUAGAGUGCGGAAGGGGCAACUGGAAUUCUCGGUGUAGCGGUGAAAAUGCGUAGAUAUCGAGAGGAACACCUGCGGCGAAGGCGGGUUGCUGGGCCGACACUGACGCUGAUGCGCGAAAGCCAGGGGAGCGAACGGG